rnacentral:rRNA from 1 species
UAUGUGAUCGUCUCUCGCAUAUCAAUAAGCGGAGGAAAAGAAACUAACAAGGAUUCCCCUAGUAACGGCGAGUGAAGCGGGAAGAGCUCAAAUUUGAAAUCUUAAAGGGUUUCCCUUUACGAAUUGUAGUUUAAAGAAGGUGUUUUCUGUUGAGGUUUUGGUAAAAGUUCUUUGGAAUAGGACAUCAUAGAGGGUGAGAAUCCCGUAUUUGACCUUUACUUUCAACUUUGUGAUACACUUUCAAAGAGUCGGAUUGUUUGGGAAUGCAGUCCAAAAUGGGUGGUAAAUUUCAUCUAAAGCUAAAUAUUGGCGAGAGACCGAUAGCGAACAAGUACCGUGAGGGAAAGAUGAAAAGAACUUUGAAAAGAGAGUUAAACAGUACGUGAAAUUGUCAAAAGGGAAGCGUUUGACACCAGUGUUGUUUUUCUGAAAAUCAAUUAAAGAACUGUUUAUGCUAAGCUGUUUAGACUUUAUCAGCUAUCUGUUUAGUUUUGAGCUUUUCUUUAAUGCACUUUUCAGUUAACAAGUCAACAUCAAUUUACUUUUGCUGUAAAAAAGCUUGAGGAAGGUGGCUUGAGAUUCGUCUUAAGUGUUUAUAGCCUCUUGCCUAUGCAGUCGGAGAGAUUGAGGUCUGCAGCGUAGAUCCUUCGGGGCUAAAUGCAUUUGUGCUAAGUUAUAGCAUUUUAUAGACAACUUGUUGACUAUGAUUUGUCUUGUAGCUUACUCGCUUAUGUUAUUUUACCUACGCUUAGGAUGUUGAAUCUGUGCGAGACUAC